AUUGCCUAGCACGAUUCAAACAAAAAAAAGGUUUGGAGAGUUACUCUCCCUCCGAUAUUUGACCUGUGCUCGUAGAGUUUUCAUUUCUCAAGAAGAGUGUUGAAUUUUUUUCUUCCACCAUAGGCUUUUGACCUGUUCUCACCAAGUCAAGUUGCAGGGUGUUGAGGUUGAUCAGUUACCUGGAGACUUAACAAUGUCAUCAUCUGGAUUAACUUGUAGCCCCUUGAGAUAUAGCCUUCACUUUCCUGCAAGAGAUGUUGGGUUUAGCAAUGACCGAGUUACUUCAUUUCCUAAUAUUAUGAGAUCUAAGGAUUUUCUCUAUUUAUAUGGUUGGACUGGAUCGACUCAGCAACGUAUACGAAGAACUCCUUUGCUCAAAUGCGCAAUGGAUGCAUCCUAUGGUGAUUCUACAAAUGAGUCAGCUGGUACCACAACAUUUCCAAGAAUCAACGUAAGGGACCCAUAUAAGCGACUUGGAAUUAGUAGGGAAGCUUCUGAAGAUGAAAUUCAAGCUGCCAGGAAUUUUCUAAUACUAACAUAUGGAAGGCAUAAACCAAGUGUGGAAGCUAUUGAAUCAGCACAUGAUAAAAUAAUAAUGCAAAAGUUCUAUGAAAGGAAGAACCCUAAAAUCAACAUCAAGAAAAAGGUCAGGGAAGUAACACAGUCACGCGUUGUGCAGGCUGUUGUGAGCAGGUUCAGAACUCCAUCAUUGAAUGUCAUUCUAAAAACUACCAUUGCAUUUAUGGUGCUCGGAGUGCUCACAGUACUCUUUCCAACUGAAGAAGGGCCUACCCUUCAAGUUGCCAUUUCUUUAUUACUUACCAUGUAUUUCGUCUAUGAUCGGCUGAAGAGCAAACUCCGUGGUUUUCUUUAUGGAGAGGUGUGACAGUGCUAGGGUUGUGACUUCGAGCUAUCGUGCAAGCGGCUGCUGGAGUCGGCAGGAGGCCGGGUUCUUGCAGGCCAGUUGCCAGGGGAGUUACAAUGCCGGGGACAGUAAGGGCGGGGCGUGGGGAAGGGUCAUUUGGGGGUGGAUUGGUCAUGGGGCUAGGGUUAGCCCAUUUUCGGAGAGAGAGAGAUAAGGGAAGAAGGAGAGAGAAAAGUUCAUUCAUUUCUUGGUGCACGUGGGGGAGUUAUUUCUGAUCUUAGACAAUCAAUCCAUUCUGAGUAUGAAGUCCUUCAUAUAUAACAGGACUAAGUCUGCUUUGAUUAUCCAACCCAUGAGUUGCUAACUUAUUGUCCUUGGCUAUCUGAUCAGCACUAAGUAUCUUCGUAGAUAUGAGAGUAACUUGUAAAAUAUUGUCGAUGGGACAAUCUACAUUUGACUUUAAAAUGAAUGCAGGAGAGAGAAGAAUGUGUAUCUCCAUAAUCCUUUUGCAUACGAAAGGAGGUGCAGAGACUGGUAUAAUACCUGCUUAACAGUUAACACACUUGGAUCCUGAAGCUGCAUUAAAGGAAAAACCUCGGCCUUGCCUUUCAUCAGACUAUUAGCUUUCUUAGGUUGUCCCUCUCAGCAUUCAUUGGAGAAGUGUCCUCACCUGUCACAUUUAUGGUAGACUUUCAUUCCGAACAAUUUCUCUCCUUCAUGAUGUUUUUGGCACUUUGGGAAGAGUGGCCACUUAUUUGUAGCACUAGUACUGGCACUUGUUCUAGGCUUUUCAAUUUUGUUGGAGCUGUACCAUUCUUCUUGUUAGAUCCAUUCCACUUGUGUUAGGCAGAUAAUUGUCGCUGCUGUUUGGGGACUUCGUCAAUUUGAUGUUUGUUGAGGUGACUACUUGAGCUUUCUCCAAAACCUAGCGGGCUGGGACUUUUGUUAUCUCCUGGCUUCUAGGAACAUUUUUAAUGGUCUCUGUGAUGCCACCCAUACUCAAAGGGCCAAGAAGUUUGGAAGUGACAACUUCAUUGAUAAGCUACAUUUUCCUUUGGGUUGCUUCUACUUACCUGAGAUAGAGCCCAAACUUCCGUAAAUGUCUCAGUUUUGACGAGGCAGGUUUGAAGUGGUUGCUCUGAUCUGGUCAUAUGAAAACUACGUAUUGAAAAUUUGAAAAGAGAGGGUUUAUGGACCAAUUUUCAUUUCAACCCUGUCCCCAGAGGCACCUAUAUGUUAUUUGGACAAAUUGAGCCAAGUUUUAAAAGAUCCUGCAUCAAAGGUGUAUAUUUGCUUCGAUAACAGCUAAUGGUGAUGCCACUGGGUUUUGGUUGUUCUUUAAAGAGUGUUUUUCUUUUGUUGGGAAAUUUUACUCAAAAUUGAAUUGAAUCGACUUUGGUUGAGAAGUGUGAAUUAGAUAAGAUCGGGAAAUCACUGGGAGCAAAUUUCAGCCAUCAAUCUUUAAGAACUUUGAUAGAACAGCAAUGACAUAUUUAGUGAAAUGAAUUGGAAAAUACUAUAUUGUACUACUAUAACAUUAAGAAAUUGUUUAUGAUAAUUUGAUAAUGUCUCCAUCAAUUUGCAA